AGUGAACGCUGGCGGUAUGCCUAACACAUGCAAGUCGAACGGCAGCACAGUAAGAGCUUGCUCUUACGGGUGGCGAGUGGCGGACGGGUGAGGAAUACAUCGGAAUCUACUUUUUCGUGGGGGAUAACGUAGGGAAACUUACGCUAAUACCGCAUACGACCUACGGGGGAAAGCAGGGGAUCUUCGGACCUUGCGCGAUUGAAUGAGCCGAUGUCGGAUUAGCUAGUUGGCGGGGUAAAGGCCCACCAAGGCGACGAUCCGUAGCUGGUGUGAGAGGAGGGUCACCCACACUGGAACUGAGACACGGUCCAGAGUCCUACGGGAGGCAGCAGUGGCGAAUAUUGGACAAUGGGCGCAAGCCUGAUCCAGCCAUACCGCGUGGGUGAAGAAGGCCUUCGGGUUGUAAAGCCCUCUUGUUGGGAAAGAAAAGCAGCAGGUUAAUACCCCGCUGUUCUGACGGUACCCAAAGAAUAAGCACCGGCUAACUUCGUG
rnacentral:rRNA from 1 species